UACGGGGGGGGGCAAGCGUUGUUCGGAAUUACUGGGCGUAAAGGGCUCGUAGGCGGCCAACUAAGUCCGACGUGAAAUCCCAAGGCUUAACCUUGGAACUGCGUCGGAUACUGGAUGGCUUGAAUUCGGGAGAGGGAUGCAGAAUUCCAGGUGUAGCGGUGAAAUGCGUAGAUAUCUGGAGGAAUACCGGUGGCGAAGGCAGCUCGCUGGGACGGUACUGACGCUGAGACGGCGAAAGCGUGGGGAGCAAACAGGG
rnacentral:rRNA from 1 species